AACCUGGUUGAUCCUGCCAGUAGUUAUAUGCUUGUUUCAAAGAUUAAGCCAUGCAUGUGUAAGUGUAAGAUUUCCGAAUCUGAACUGCAAAUGGCUCAUUAAAACAGUUAUGAUUUAUUUGACAUUUAGAUUCCUACAUGGACAACUGGUGUAAUUCUCGAGCUAAUACAUGCACACUGGCUUUACUGUAUGGGAUGGCUGUGCUUGAUUUUAUUUGAACCUUUGUGAGCAUGCUCAGCUUUGAUGAUUAAUUACAACUGCACAAAUUGUAUGUCUAAAUACGAUAAUUCAUUCAAGUUUCUGACCUAUCAGUUGUAUACAGUAAGAUAUUGGCUUACUGCGGCUAUAACGGGUGACGGGGAAUUAGGGUUUGAUUCCGGAGAGGGAGCCUUAGAAACAGCUACCACAUCUAAGGGAGGCAGCAGGCGCGCAAAUUACCCAAUCUCUGCUACAAUGAGGUAGUGACAAGAAAUAACAAUGCAGGGCAUAUGUGUCUUGCAAUUGGAAUGAGUAUGUCUCAAACACGUUUAUGAGUAUCAAUUGGAGGGCAAGUCUGGUGCCAGCAGCCGCGGUAAUUCCAGCUCCAGCAGUGUAUAUUAAAGUUGUUGUGGUUAAAAAGCUCGUAGUUUGUUGUUUGUCCAUGAUGCCUGGUCCGCCCAUUGGGUGAGCAUCUAGGUACUUUGGGUUUUUUAAUGAACCAAUUCGCAUUUAACUAUGUGAGAUGGGAAGUAAAACAUUUACUUUGAAGGAAUUAGAGUGACCCAAGCAAGCACAUGCUUGAAUAUAUUAGCAUGGAAUAAUGAGUUAAGGCUUUGGCUGUAUUUAUGGUUCUUAUAGCCAUGGUAAUGUUCAAUGGAGAUAAUUGGUGGCAUUUGUAUUUAACUGUCAGAGGUGAAAUUCUUGGAUUUGUUGAAGACAGACGAAUGCGAAAGUAUUUGUCAAGGCUAUUUUCAUUGAUCAAGAACAAAAGUUAGGGGAUUGAAGACGAUCAGAUACCGUCCUAGUCUUAACCAUAAACUAUGCCGACUAGCGAUUGGAUGUUGUUACUUUAAAUGACUCUUUCAGCACCUUAUGGGAAACUAUAUAGUUUUUGGGCUCCAGGGGUAGUAUGGUCGCAAGGCUGAAACUUAAAGGAAUUGACGGAAGGGCACCACCAGGAGUGGAGCAUGCGGCUUAAUUUGACUCAA
rnacentral:rRNA from 1 species